UCAACAUGUGUGGAAAUAACAACAACAACACGGCGAGCCGGGAGCUCACCUACGAUGGUUGUAAUCUUUUCAGACAAACACCAGUGUUAUCAACGCUAAAUUGCAAAAGCAAAACUUACCAUCUGAAGAGGAUAACCCAGGACUCCGAGAUUUUGUAUCCAGCUUCAUCAGGCUUCUGGACAAGGUAACCUAAGGGACCAAAAUUGAAAUCAAGUCAUGAGAGGAUGAAUGCAGUGUUGCCAACUCCUCAGUAAGGAAAGUAGCUAUUGGCUGUCCUAAAUGACGUCAUCGCCCAAUUUGCAUAAUUGGCCAUGUGCAUGUAAUUGUGAUGGAUGCUGUAGGAAUAACGUCGUGGAGAGACAAAAGGAAGCGGCGGCUUCCCGCAUGCGUGAUUCAUUUGCAGUCUGGAUGCGGAGGGGUGAACAUCUCCUGCUCUGACUGGGCUGCCUGAACGGUGCUGUUCUACCAGCUCGGCCUGCUGUAUGGUGUCGUGGUGGAACAUGACUAACACCCAGCGCUCUCUGGGUUAUUACCUGGUUUCCCUGCUCAUGUGGGCUCCCUUCAUGAAGCACCCUUUGAAGGCUGUGCUGAAGGGGAUCACCAACGAUCCCAUUGACUUCUCGGCCCUCCCAGCCAACACCACCUCAUCAGAAUGCCUGUUGCUGUUGAUGGAGAGAUGUACAGAUGGCAGCAGAACAUGCAGCAUAGUGAAGACUUGACUUCACUGUGAGCAUAACUAUGAAUGGAUCAGUCAGCCACCUGUUGGCAAGUAUCCGGUUAGACAAACCUGUCAUCGACAACAGCUUUCACAGGCUCAUCAUUUGUACAAAUACAGAAGGUCGCAGUUGUAAAGGAGAACUUGUUCUCAACUGCCCUACCUGGUUAAAUUUACACAGCCUGGAGGUGUGUUGGGUUAUUGUCCUGUUGAAAAACAAAUGAUAGUCCCACUAAGUGCAAACUUGAUGGGAUGACGUUUCACAGAAUGCUGUCGUAGCCAUGCUGGUUAAGUGUGCCUUGAAUUUUAAAUAAAUCACUGACUGUGUUACCAGCAAAGCACCAUCACACCACCACCUCCAUACUUCAUGGUGGGAACCACACAAGCGGAGAUCAUCCGUUCUCCAUCUCACAAAGACAUGGCGGUUGAAACAAAAAAUCAGACCUAAGAGCACAUUUCCACCGGUCUAAUGUCCAUUUCUCGUGUUUCUUGGCCCAAGCAAGUCUCUUCGUCUUAUUGGUGUGCUUUAGUAGUAGUUUCUUUGCAGCAAUUUGACCAUGUAGGCCUGAUUUUUAUUUUUAUUUUUUAAACAGUCUCCUCUGAACAGUUGAUGUUGAGAUGUCUCUUACUUGAACUCUGUGAAGCAUUUAUUUGGGCUGCAAUUUCUGAGGCUGGUAACUCUAAUGAAUUUAUCUUCUGCAGCAGAGGUAACUCUGGGUCUUCCUUUCUAGUGGCGGUCCUCAUGAGAGCCAGUUUCAUCAUAGCACUUGAUGGUUUUUGUGACUGCACUUGAAGAAACUUUCAAAGUUCUUAAUGUUCUGGGUUGACUGACCUUCAUGUCUUAAAGUAAUGAUGGACUGUCAUUUCUAUUUUCUUAUUUGAGCUGCUGUUGCCAUAAUAUGGACUUGGUCUUUUACUAAAUAGGACUAUCUUCUGUAGUCCAAAUGCAACGCUAUUUCUCUGUAAACAAAUUAACAGACUUACAGCAUGCUUAUAGAGAAGGGCACCCAACAUGUACUGCACUGGCACAAAUGACUGAUGAAAAUAAAUUGAUAAGAUUGGGGGAGCUGUACUGUUAGAUUUCAGUGCAGCCUUUGACACUAUUGACCAUAACCUGUUGUUGAAAAAAACGUAUGUGUUAUGGCUUUUCAACCUCUGCAACAUCGUGGAUUCAGAGCUAUCUAAUAAAACUCAAAGGAUUUUCUUUAAUGGAAACUUCUCUGUCAAACAUAUAAAGUGUGGUGUACCGCAGGGCAGCUCUCAAGGCCCUCUACUCUUUUUUUUCUGUUUUUACCAGUGACCUGGCAUUACACAAAGCAUGUGUGUCCUGUAUGCUGAUGAUUCAACCACAGGUAAUGAAGUCACUGAAACUUUUAACAAAGAAUGUUUUGGAAUGUGUUGUGAGUAAUAAACUGGUCCUGAACAUCUCUAAAACUAAGAGCAUUGUAUUUGGUACAAAACAUUCCUUAAGUUUUAGACCUCAGCUGAAUCAUCUGGUAAUGAAUGGUGUGGCUGUUUGAACAAGUUGAGGAGACUAAAUUACUUGGUGUUACCUUAGGUUGUAAACUGAUAUGGUCAAAAAUGUAUUGAUUCAAUGGUUGUAAAAAUGGGGAGAGGUCUGGCUGUAAUGAAAAGAUGCUCUGCUUUUUUUGAUACCACACUCUAACAAGCAAGUUCUGCAGGCUCUAGUUUUGUUUAAUCUUGAUUAUUGUCCAGUCGUGUGGUCCAUUGCUGCAUAGUUAAGCUGCAGCUGGCCCAGAACAGAGCAGCACAUCUUGCUUUUCAUUGUAAUCAGAGGGCUGAUAUAAAUACUAUGCAUAGCAGUCUCUCUUGGCUAAGCGUUGAGGAGAGCCUGACUGCAUCACUUCUUUUUAUAAGAAACAUUGUUAAAUCCCAAAUUGUUUGCAUAGCUAACUUACACACAGCUCUGACACACACAUUUAUCCCACCAGACAUGCCACCAGGGGUCUUUUCACAGUCCACAAUCCAGAACAAAUUCAAGAAAGCAUACAGUAUUAUAGUGUGCCUUUUUUUUAAAAAUUAAAAGGUAUGUUCUGUC